rnacentral:rRNA from 1 species
GUAGGUGGCAAGCGUUGUCCGGAAUUAUUGGGCGUAAAGCGCGCGCAGGCGGUCCUUUAAGUCUGAUGUGAAAGCCCACGGCUCAACCGUGGAGGGUCAUUGGAAACUGGGGGACUUGAGUACAGAAGAGGAAAGCGGAAUUCCAAGUGUAGCGGUGAAAUGCGUAGAGAUUUGGAGGAACACCAGUGGCGAGGGCGGCUUUCUGGUCUGUAACUGACGCUGAGGCGCGAAAGCGUGGGGAGCAAACAGGGAUUAGAUACCCUGGUAGUCCACGCCGUAAACGAUGAGUGCUAAGUGUUAGGGGGUUUCCCGCCCCUUAGUGCUGCAGCUAACGCAUUAAGCACUCCGCCUGGGGAUACGGCCGCAAGGCUG